rnacentral:rRNA from 1 species
UGGGGAAUAUUGCACAAUGGGCGGAAGCCUGAUGCAGCAACGCCGCGUGCGGGAUGACGGCCUUCGGGUUGUAAACCGCUUUCGCCUGUGACGAAGCGUGAGUGACGGUAAUGGGUAAAGAAGCACCGGCUAACUACGUGCCAGCAGCCGCGGUGUUACGUAGGGUGCGAGCGUUGUCCGGAUUUAUUGGGCGUAAAGGGCUCGUAGGUGGUUGAUCGCGUCGGAAGUGUAAUCUUGGGGCUUAACCCUGAGCGUGCUUUCGAUACGGGUUGACUUGAGGAAGGUAGGGGAGAAUGGAAUUCCUGGUGGAGCGGUGGAAUGCGCAGAUAUCAGGAGGAACACCAGUGGCGAAGGCGGUUCUCUGGGCCUUUCCUGACGCUGAGGAGCGAAAGCGUGGGGAGCGAACAGGCUUAGAUACCCUGGUAGUCCACGCUGUAAACGGUGGGUACUAGGUGUGGGGUCCAUUCCACGGGUUCCGUGCCGUAGCUAACGCUUUAAGUACCCCGCCUGGGGAGUACGGCCG